GACGAACGCUGGCGGCGUGCUUAACACAUGCAAGUCGAACGGUGAAGCGCCUUCCUUUUUGGUGGGUGUGGAUGAGUGGCGAACGGGUGAGUAACACGUGAGUAACCUGCCCCCUUCUUCUGGAUAACCGCAUGAAAGUGUGGCUAAUACGGGAUAUUCUGGGUCUGUCGCAUGAUGGGUCUGGGAAAGAUAUUGUUUCGGUGGGGGAUGGGCUCGCGGCCUAUCAGCUUGUUGGUGGGGUGAUGGCCUACCAAGGCGGUGACGGGUAGCCGGCCUGAGAGGGUGGACGGUCACACUGGGACUGGGACACGGCCCAGACUCCUACGGGAGGCAGCAGUGGGGAAUAUUGCACAAUGGGCGCAAGCCUGAUGCAGCGACGCCGCGUGAGGGAUGGAGGCCUUCGGGUUGCGAACCUCUUUCGCCAGUGAAGCAGGCCUGCCUCGUUUGUGGGUGGGUUGACGGUAGCUGGAUAAGAAGCGCCGGCUAACUACGUG
rnacentral:rRNA from 1 species